rnacentral:rRNA from 1 species
GAUGAACGCUGGCUACAGGCUUAACACAUGCAAGUCGAGGGGAAACGACGGGGAAGCUUGCUUCCCCGGGCGUCGACCGGCGCACGGGUGAGUAACGCGUAUCCAACCUGCCUCUGACUGAGGGAUAACCCGUCGAAAGUCGGCCUAAUACCUCAUGGCAUCGUCUGCGGGCAUCCAACGACGAUUAAAGAUUUCAUCGGUCAGGGAUGGGGAUGCGUCUGAUUAGCUUGUUGGCGGGGUAACGGCCCACCAAGGCUACGAUCAGUAGGGGUUCUGAGAGGAAGGUCCCCCACAUUGGAACUGAGACACGGUCCAAACUCCUACGGGAGGCAGCAGUGAGGAAUAUUGGUCAAUGGGCGAGAGCCUGAACCAGCCAAGUAGCGUGCAGGAUGACGGCCCUAUGGGUUGUAAACUGCUUUUAUGCGGGGAUAAAGUGAGGGACGUGUCCUUCAUUGCAGGUACCGCAUGAAUAAGGACCGGCUAAUUCCGUG